UGUAAUAUCAUUGGCAAUAGUCUUUGUGACUUUGGUGCAGUGACAUUACGAAAGGAUCGUUGCAUAGAAUGUUAGAAUCUAGCAUAUUCUAUAAGUAGCAAGAAUUUGAUAUUCUUUCACUUAUGAAAAAGGGUUUGGAGUUGUGAAAUGAGAAUGAUUGGAAAUGUGUUCAAUGUGAUCUAUUUCACAAAGUAAGAACCAUAGGUAAACAUUGUGUGCAUGCUAGGAGCAUGGGACAAGUGUUGUAAUUCAAGUAAGAAGUUGAUUACCCGAAACGACAAAUAAUGAGUAAUCAAUAUGGUGAUAAAUAAAAGGUGUUUUAUUUAUACUCAAAGGUUUGAGGCCAUAUGGGAUUAGUAUUAUUCUUGUGUUUCACAUUUGCAUGUUUUGACUUCCAGAAUAAUUGAGUUUAUUAAGAAUAAUCGAAUUAUUCAAACGGGCCACAGUCGUUCAUAUGUUGGAAGUAGAUAUGAAUGAAGACUGUCGUGAAUUGGUGUGUGGAUUGUCUAAAAGAGUAUUAGACAUAAGCAAAUGUUUGCUGCAACGUUCAUGAGUGCUUAUGAAUAUGAUUUGAGCAUUGGAUUAAACCCACGCUCACUUGGAUCACUCCAUGAAUUGUAUCACGAGUGAUUGGUGAGACGAUAACAUCUUAUAUUCUUGAAACCGAGAUGUGUGAGUUGUAUCUUGCAAAUCGGUUGCACAUUGAUAAUAUGUAAACGCACUAGUAACUUGGUGUUACAAGACAUAUUGUUGUGUGUGAUUCGGUGUGUGAGUGCAAUCGAACAUUGUAUCAAAGUUUAUCCGUUCCUUUUAUCCAAAGUAGGAUAAAAGCGAUAUCUUUGGGCCCCUCGAUGGUUUAGUGAUGACAAACGUAAAUGCUCGGCCGGGCUAGGGCUAAUUUGAUUUGUUCAAUUAGUCAGUCGUCAUAAAUCGGAGAUCGAGAAAUAGUACAAAGAGAAUGAUUAGAAAUCAUAUCUUACGAUAUCUAGAAUGGAGGAAUAUAUGAUCCCUUAUCUAAAGGACACGCGUAUCUGAUAGGAUCAGAGUUGACAGCGGCUUUGGAAAGCUACGAUUGCAGAUCAGGAUCUGAAGUCAUACGCAUAAUAGUUAUUAGACUUAUCCAAGUGGGAGACUGUUGGAUUAGUGUCUAAGUCCAUAACUAUUUUGGUAUGUACUUGACCCGAUGGUGCAUGGUCCUUUUGGGUUGCCUUCACCAAAACAACUUGAUAGGAUGAAUUAUGGAGAGAAAGGAUUAAAUAUGAUUUAUUAAUAUAUUAUGAGAAUAAUAUAUUAAAGGAGAAAUCAUAUUGUUUAAUUAAUAUUAGUCAAUAAUUAAUUGGUAAUUAGUUUUGUGACUAAAAGAGAUUAAGUAAACUUAAGGGACUGGAUUUGUAAUUAUAAGACAAUUGCAAUUUGGGCCAUGGAUUGACUUAUAGUAAGGGGUGGACGAAUUCUAUGGGAAACCCAUAAAAAAUCGUCCAAGGCCUUAAGGAAAGGGAUCAAUGGGUUGUUUAGGGGUUAAGCAUCCAAAUUAGGGUUUCCUUGUUAGAUAACCCUAAUAGCCUCACUAUAAAUAGACCCCUUAUGACCUAAAAACAUGGCUAAGACUUGUUCUAGGGUUUCACACGUUUUUUGGGCAGCUUCCAUUCUCUCUCCUCUUCAUCCUCUUGCUUAUGGUGUUUGUGAACCAUUAGAGGAGUGACAUUUGUGACUCUAAGCUUUCUAAAGUCAUUACAAGGAGAUUUGGGAUUGUUAUUGCUACAUAUCAAUCAAGGUAAUAUCUUAAACCCAUUCUUAUGUUAAUAUGAUUACUUGUAUGCUAGAAUUAGGGUUUAUAGUCUUGGAUAACUUGCAUGUACAAUAGAGAAACCUAGAUCCAAGCAUUAGGGUUUGUAUGAGCACAUAGGAUGUUCUUAUAGCUAAAACCCAUCAGUGGUAUCAGAGAGUAGACUGGUUUCAAUUGUAUUGAUGCAUUGUAUAAUUGAAAAAUUCGAUUUUUGUGGUUCUGGAGGCUAGACUCGCUGAGUCCAUAGAUGAACUCGCCGAGUCCAUGCUGACUCGACGAGUCCAUGCCUGACUCGGCGAGUCGGCUGGUCAGAUGGAGGGUAAACCGGGAUUUCUUGCUGUUUUUGCUUAAGGAUAGUUGCCUUAUCACAUUAGAUCAAUAUAAAUCCGAUUUUUUGAUAUAUAUGACUAUAUUCUUGAUCUAAUUGAAGAUAUUUAUCAAUUAAUAAAAUAUUUGUUUCCUUAUGUGAUAAUUGAUUAAUUAUUUUGAUUAAAUUGGUAAAUUGUUUUGCAAGAAAUCAUUAAAUAAAUCAAAUAUGGAUAAUUAUGUGAUUAAAUGUUAAUUUAGAUUAUUUGUUAUUUGAUCCUUGUGUUAUGAAAAGUUUCAUAUUUUCCCCUUUAGGUUUUAUAGUUUAAAUUUGAACCCAAAAGUUUUGUUGUUUUGAAAUUUAAAUAGUUAAAACCCUAAUGUUUUGAAAAAGGUUUCAAAACUUGCCCUCAAGUUUUGGAAUUUAAAUUUUGAUUAAUAGUUUAAUUUUGAUGUAUAUUUAAAUUCUAAACCCUAAUGUUUUGAAAUGUUUCAAAACUUGCCCUCAAGUUUUGGAAUUUAAAAGUUGAUUAAAAGUUUAAUUAGGAAUGUUAAAUUCUAAAACCCUAGUAUUGUUUUGAAAAAGUUCAAAUCACACCCUUAUGGUUUUAUUAAUUAAUUAAGGUGUAUAAUUAAAAGAGGUUUAAUAAAUCCAUAAAAGUUUAGGUUUACAAUUUAAUUGAAUUAAAAGUAUAAUUGUUAAAUUAGACCACCUAGUAUUUUAAAAGUAUAAAAUACACCCUAUACUAUAUAUAACAUUAAAAGUCUAACAUUAUAUAUAUGUAUGAGUAAAAGUCAGUCUUACCGUUAGUAGGCCUCAUUCACGAAGCUGGUCUAUAAGGGGUGUUUAAGGAAAUUGCCUAUAAAAUGGCGAUUGAAUGGGUAUCCACUCUUACCCACCGCACUCUUGACUAGUGGAGGGUCGUUAGCCGAACGGGUAGGAUAGGACGAAACCUUCCAUUAUAAGUAUAAUGAAUUAUUAAAGUAACUAAAUGUUUUCAUAAAAUUCCCAAUCUUAGUUACUUAGGCAAAAGUGAAUUGAUGCAAUUCCAUGAAAUUACACUUUGUGCCCUUGCGAAGACGUUAGUGGAGCGUGUGUGGUUUACCGGCACACUAAAUGGUUCUAAGCAAAGGUAGCAAAGGGUGACUCAAUGUUUGUCAUAGUUCGGUGGAGCGUGUGUGGUUUACCGGCACAUCGAAUAGGUGACUGUAACAUGUGAGGGCACCAUGUAAGUUUGCAUGGUUAUUCACACCCGCUUUGUGAUCCUCGGCAUCCCAGUCACAAACAAGAGGGGCAUAUCGAGAUUUAAACAUGCCAUUGAAAGUUCAAUGAAUCUCAAAGGAUCUAGGAGUUUUCAUAGAUUUAAAACUUAAAUUUCUUUUUCGUUUUUCAUGGUGGAAAUUAGUGAAUCGUCAUUCACUUACCUUCAAAUAUUCUGCAAUUAGGGUUACGGCAUCCCUCUCCCGAGUUGUAGAAUAUUGUGUUGGGUCCUAGCCUUAGUAUCUCAUUUGGGUGAUUUACUAAGGACUCAAUCAAUCAACUAACUUGAAUUCGUUUUCUCCCGUUUUGUAGAUGUCAAAGUUCGACAACUAUGGUCUUCCCAAAUCCCGUGGAACAAGCAUUCCACAUGAAGAUGAUAUUCCACGAUUCGAUCGAGGAACAAGAAAUCAUGCUUCACUUCCUCCUCCUCCUCCAAUUAUUCUCCCUAACCCACAAGUUCAAAGGCUUGAAAAGUUCAAGAUCACUCAAGCCCUUUUGGCAAGUAAACAUAAAGAAGGAAAGUCGGUGUGUGCACACGUCCUAGGGAUGAAGUCACACAUUGAUAGGUUAAGAAUGUUGGGAUCCGUUGUCUGUGAGGAAAUGGCUGUUGAUUGGGUUCUUCAGUCACUUCCUAACUCAUAUAGUGAGUUCGUAAGAGAGUACUAUAUGAUGAACCGCGACGUGACCCUUAUAGAUCUCACCUAUAUGCUUAUUGCUGCUGAAUCAGCAAUGGUUUGGCGCAAUAGAAAAGCAAAGUUGAUUGGUGAAUCUGCCUUCAAGACCUCUAUGGAUAUAGACAAUGGCAACGAAAGACAUGCUAUGAUCGAAAAGUUUGAUCAUAAGAGAAAGGCAAUGUCUGAAGUAGUUCCAUGUCAUGUUCCAAAAGAGUCAAUUUGCUUUUAUUGCCAAGAGAAAGGGCAUUGGAGACGAAGCUGCCCCAUUUACCUAAGAGAUCUAAGAGAUGGGAGAGUCGAAACGUAUGGCUCUAAUAUAGGUAAAAUCCAUUAACUAACUCUUUUAAGCUUCUAUUCUAGAUUCUUAAUACAUAAUGUGAUAAGAUUACAAUUGAUGUUUUGUAGGAUCGAAGAAAAGAAAGGAAGCUUAAGGGAAGAAGUGAGCAGAAUCUAACCGUGAAGGAAUGGAUUUCGAUCGCAUUUCUCGAAGAUUAGAUUCUUGAGCUACUACUUAGAGUUAGAAUUAGAUUGCUAAGAAAGAUGUAUUAGCAUAGUUUUUCAAUGAAUUGCAUUGUAAGGACAAAUUUUUUCCGCAAUAAAAUAAAUUUUGAUUUUAUAUUAUUUAUUUAUCCUUGCAAUGGCGUAUAUGAAAAAUUGAUGUUUGAAUGUUUCUAUUAUUAGCAAUAAUGGAUUUGGUUCUUAUUAUGUUAUUUAUGGAAAGUCGAGAAUUUACCAAAUAGGGAGAGUUUCUCAUCGCCCAAGUUUCAAUUGGACAGAAACUUGGAAUCAUGCAACUUGGUUGCACGAUGAAUGAGAAAUUUCAUAUUUGGAAAUUAGACUAAUUCAUUGACAAAGUGUCAAGUGAAGGACUAGGAGAUCGAGUACACAAAGUUGCGUGUUGAUCAAGUCCACCAUAAGAGUAACAAAGAUAUUCGUCAUGAUUUACUAAAGGUUUAGUAAAUAUGAUUAUACUUACAAGAUUAAGUGUAAUUCUGAAUUGAUUGAAAAAGUUUAAAUCAAUAGCAGAACGAAUAAGAAGAAUCAAGUAGGCAGAAAGAUAAAAGUUUCUCCAUUCUAAGAAGAAGGGAGAGUACCUUUUAUGCUUUAUGAUAGGUCUUAAUGAUUAAGAACCAUAUCUCAAUUGAUCCUCUAAGUGAGUCUUAGUACAAUUGUAUGUCUAAGAAGAGGAAUCAAGAAUUGAAGAAAUGGUUAAAUCAAGAAGUCAAUCAUACUUCGUUCCAAAACAAGUCUUAGAGUUAAGAUUGUGACAUUGAGUGAUAAGUAUUAAGAAGGUUUAUAACAUUCAUCAAAUGUGGAAAGUUGUGAUGUCUUGGAUAAGACAAAGACCAACUAGGACCAAUUUAUGAAGUGUUUUGAUAAAAGCUACACUAACUCUUGAAUAUUUGUUUGUCAAGAAAUGUUUAUUGACAAGAGAAUCUUAUAUGUCAAGGAGUCAGUGGGAGUCUUAAUGGUCUUGAAAGGUUUCAAGAACAAAUCAAAUAAACCUUAUCGAUCAUCACUAGCACACGAGUUGAGGUUUACAACCUAUCGUGUUGACAUUAUUUUGUUUCUGUGCCAAUCCAAUCGAGUUAAUUAUGCAUGUGAGUUCUAUGAGUUCUCAUUUUGAACGCAUAAAAGGCAAAGCACCUUAAUCAAUGAAAGGUACAUUGAUAGGAAAGGGUGAGCUGCUUAACUACUUGGAAGACAUGGUGGGCAGCUGUGCUACCAUAAGGCAAGAAAUCAACACUAAGAAAGUUCGGUCCAUAUGAGUUUGAAUUUGUUGUAAACUUUGGUUUUAACAAAUUCACAUGGAUAGGAACAAAUACACCGUUUAAAUCUAAGUGUCAUAAGAUUUCCUCCUUCAUGAAAAUGAUUGUGAGGAAAUGCUUUCACUAAGAAAGAUUUUAAGAAGAUAGUGAUUGUAAAAUUGCAUUCUCGAAUUCGAUUAUGGUUACGGUAUCCCUUUCCAUAAUUUGAAUUGUGAGGUUUGGCAAUUAGUCUUAAUUGUUUAGACACACAUAUGAACUAUCGAAGGCAAAGGUGUAUAAGUUCAAGAAGCAUUGAUAAAGGAUUAUCAAAGCACUAAGUAUUAGAAACAUGAACUUAAGAAAUUCAAUAAGUAUUGUUUUCUGAAAGUUAAGAUGUUUAUGAAUACAUGUCGAAGCUAGUGGGAGCAUAAGUGUUAUGUUUUAUAAUAAUCAUCAUGAUAGUGGGAGCAUAAAUGUUAUGAUUGUAUGAUUAUUAAGGAAAGUAUUGCAAGGUUAGCAAUAUUAAUUAUAGAAAACAAGAGUUAUACCUUGCAAGUCGUAAGGGUUGUAAAGUUGUUAAUAAAUUUAAAGGCUUAGGUUGAGAAAUGUUAAUAAAUUUAGUCAAAAGCACAUAGUGUGUUCUCAAAAUUUCGAUUAUGAUUACAGCAUUCCUCAAUUCGAAUUUUGAGAACAUAAUAAAUAAAAUAUUAUGGCAGAAGAUUGAUAAAGUAUCAAAUCUUUAUGUAAGACAUUAUGCAUCGUGUCCCAUACGCUUCGGAUAUAGGAUCGAUUUCAAAUGCUAUAAUAUUUCACCAUUCUAAAAUUUUCCAAAUGUCGAGCGCAUUUAGAGGGAAAAGGGACUAGAAUUGGUUUUGACUAAAAUAAUUAAACAACUAUCAAAGGACAAUCCAAAGUUCGACGAGGAUUGGUUGCUUGUGAGUAGUUGGAAGCAUGGUAUUGAAUGGACCAUAUCGACAUUAUUAUGAAAAGAUAAGAUUGUAUUAAGAAUAAGUUGUCAUAUGGAAAAUAUGGAAAUGUAUCCAUAUUGGGAAUUGAAUAUUGAAAAUCUAUGACUAGAUUAGAAACUUUUAUGCAAAAGGAUGUUCAAAGAAUGUACUUUGAGUGAGAGACAUCACGUCUAUGGAAUUGUCUUGUAACAAUCUCCGAUAGAGGACUUUGUAAUAUCAUUGGCAAUAGUCUUUGUGACUUUGGUGCAGUGACAUUACGAAAGGAUAAGUUGCAUAGAAUGUUAGAAUCUAGCAUAUUGUAUAAGUGACAAGAAUUUGAUAUUCUUACACUUAUUAAAGCGGAUUUGGAGUUGUGAAAUGAGAAUGAUUGGAAAUGUGUUCAAUUUGAUCUAUUUCACAAAGUAAGAACCACAGGUAAACAUUGUGUGCAUGCUAGGAGCAUGGGACAAGUGUUGUCAUUCAAGUAAGAAGUUGAUUAACCGAAACGACAAAUAAUGAGUAAUCGAUAUGGUGAUAAAUAAAAGGUGUUUUAUUUAUGCUCAAAGGGUUGAGGCCAUAUGGGAUUAGUAUUAUUCUUGUGUUUCACAUUUGCAUGUUUUGACUUCCAGAAUAAUUGAGUUUAUUAAGAAUAAUCGAAUUAUUCAAACGGGCCACAGUCGUUCAUAUGUUGGAAGUAGAUAUGAAUGAAGACUGUCGUGAAUUGGUGUGUGGAUUGUCUAAAGAGCAUUAGACAUAAGCAAAUGUUUGCUGCAACGUUCAUGAGUGCUUAUGAAUAUGAUUUGAGCAUUGGAUUAAACCCACGCUCACUUGGAUCACUCCAUGAAUUGUAUCACGAGUGAUUGGUGAGACGAUAACAUCUUAUAUUCUUGAAACCGAGAUGUGUGAGUUGUAUCUUGCAAAUCGGUUGCACAUUGAUAAUAUGUAAACGCACUAGUAACUUGGUGUUAUAAAACAUAUUGUUGUGUGUGAUUCGGUGAGUGAGUGCAAGCAAGCAUUGUAUCAAAUUUUAUCCGUUCCUUUUAUCCAAAGUAGGAUAAAAGCGAUAUCUUUGGGCCCCUCGAUGAUUUAGUGAUGACAAACGUAAAUGCUCGGCCGGGCUAGGGCUAAUUUGAUUUGUUCAAUUAGUCAGUCGUCAUAAAUCGGGAAUCGAGAUAUAGUACAAAGAGAAUGAUUUGAAAUCAU
rnacentral:lncRNA from 1 species